AUUGAACGCUGGCGGCAUGCUUAAUACAUGCAAGUCGAGGGGCAGCAUGAUUGUAGCAAUACAAUUGAUGGCGACCGGCAAACGGGUGCGGAACACGUACACAACCUUCCAAUAAGUGGGGAAUAGCCCAGAGAAAUUUGGAUUAAUACCCCGUAACAUAACGAUGUGGCAUCACAUUGUUAUUAUAGAUUUUUCGCUUAUUGAUGGGUGUGCGGCUGAUUAGAUAGUUGGCGGGGUAACGGCCCACCAAGUCUACGAUCAGUAGCUGAUGUGAGAGCAUGAUCAGCCACACGGGCACUGAGACACGGGCCCGACUCCUACGGGAGGCAGCAGUAAGGAAUAUUGGACAAUGGACGCAAGUCUGAUCCAGCCAUGCCGCGUGAAGGAUUAAGGUCCUCUGGAUUGUAAACUUCUUUUAUAAGGGACGAAAAAAGGCUUUUCUAAGUCGUCUGACGGUACCUUAUGAAUAAGCACCGGCUAACUCCGUGCCAGCCGCCGCGGUAACAC
rnacentral:rRNA from 1 species